rnacentral:rRNA from 1 species
AUGUACAUUCCUAUAGCGUUAAUGCAUCAGAUCCCAUUAGAAAUACGUAGUUAAGCGUGCUUGGAAUAUAGUAGUACUGGGAUGGGUGACUUCCCAAGAAUCCCUAGUGCUUUACAUG